rnacentral:lncRNA from 1 species
CGGGCAGAAUUUUUAUGCCCCCGAAGAGAAGUCGUUAAUUCGCAAGGAGGAAAUCGACACAAACCAUGGGAAACUACACAUCGCGUUACAUGGUACGGAAGGCAAACCGGCCAUAAUAACAUUUCAUGAUAUCGGACAGAACCACAUUUCGGCCUUUCAAAGUUUUCUUAAUUGCACUGAAAUGGCACCCAUAUUGCAGUAUUUCACAAUCUAUCAUAUCGAUGCGCACGGUCAACAAGACCAGGCUGCUCAGUUUCCUGAGACUUUUCAGAUCCGAGUAUGGACGACUUGGCUGAGGCUGUCAGCGAUGUUGUGGCGCAUUUUAAAUUGAAGUCAUUUGUGGGACUGGGCAUCGGCGCUGGAGCAAGCAUUCUUUGUCGAUAUGGCCUGAAAUACCCGAAAUUGGUCGAUGGCCUGUUGCUCAUCAAUUGUUUCUCGGGGAAAAGUGGUUGGGUCGAAUGGGGCUAUGAAAAGAUUUCUUCACAUCAACUAAAAAGUAAAGGCAUGACACCUUUCACCGAAGACUAUCUUGUCUGGCAUCAUUUUGGCAAGAGAUCAACAGAGGAAAAU